rnacentral:piRNA from 1 species
CCAUCAUAUAUCCUCGUUUAUGGCUCU